UGAUAUUGACACCAUGAAUCAGAUGAAAACUGUCAUUGCCCAAAUGCUGGAAUACUGUCCAACGGUUAUCAAUUGUUCCUGAGAAUCUAGACAUUUGUGAUGCUAUGCUGUCUGAGUCCUUGCAAUUUGUCAAAGCUGUUGCCAAGAAGUUGAGAUUGGGUUAUUGAAACAUGCAGAACUUACCUACCUCAGCUAUGAUCCAAUAGUCAGGUAAGCCUCUAUCAGUUCUGGUUUCACUUAAAACUAUAAAGUAUCACUAAUUCCUUCAACUUUCCCUAAUUCCAACAUCACAAGUGUUCAUAGGAUUAUUACAGUGCACUUAUUCAGACUAAGCACAAAUUGUUCAGAUUGUAUCAGAAUACUCGAGUGUGG
rnacentral:lncRNA from 1 species